rnacentral:rRNA from 1 species
CGUGGGUAACCUGCCCUUGAGUCUGGGAUAACCCGGGGAAACCCGGGCUAAUACCGGAUACGGCUGCGGGGUCUUCGGAUCCUGCAGAGAAAGAUGGCCUCUUCAUGAAUGCUAUCUCUCAAGGAUGAGCCCGCGUCCUAUUAGCUAGUUGGUGGGGUAACGGCCCACCAAGGCGAAGAUGGGUAGCUGGUCUGAGAGGAUGACCAGCCACACUGGAACUGAGACACGGUCCAG